GGGCUUGACAUCCCACGAACCUGCCCGAAAGGGUCGGGUGCCCGCAAGGGAGCGUGGAGACAGGUGGUGCAUGGCCGUCGUCAGCUCGUGUCGUGAGAUGUUGGGUUAAGUCCCGCAACGAGCGCAACCCUCACCCCUUGUUGCCACCGGGUCAUGCCGAGCACUCUAGGGGAACUGCCAGCGUCAAGCUGGAGGAAGGCGGGGAUGACGUCAAGUCAUCAUGCCCCUUACGCCCUGGGCAACACGCGCGCUACAAUGGCUGGUACAAAGGGAUGCAAGACCGCGAGGUGGAGCUAAUCCCAAAAAACCAGUCUAAGUUCAGAUUGCAGUCUGCAACUCGACUGCAUGAAGGAGGAAUCGCUAGUAAUCGCGCAUCAGCAUGGCGCGGUGAAUACGUUCCCGGGCCUUGUACACACCGCCCGUCACACCACGAAAGCCGGCUGUACUCGAAGUCGCUGAG
rnacentral:rRNA from 1 species